rnacentral:rRNA from 1 species
AAUGAACGCUGGCGGCAUGCCUAACACAUGCAAGUCGAACGAAGGCUUCGGCCUUAGUGGCGCACGGGUGCGUAACGCGUGGGAAUCUGCCCUUGGGUUCGGAAUAACAGUUAGAAAUGACUGCUAAUACCGGAUGAUGUCGUAAGACCAAAGAUUUAUCGCCCAAGGAUGAGCCCGCGUAGGAUUAGCUAGUUGGUGGGGUAAAGGCCCACCAAGGCGACGAUCCUUAGCUGGUCUGAGAGGAUGAUCAGCCACACUGGGACUGAGACACGGCCCAGACUCCUACGGGAGGCAGCAGUGGGGAAUAUUGGACAAUGGGCGAAAGCCUGAUCCAGCAAUGCCGCGUGAGUGAUGAAGGCCUUAGGGUUGUAAAGCUCUUUCGGCGGGGAAGAUGAUGACGGUACCCGCAGAAGAAGCCCCGGCUAACUUCGUGCCAGCCGCAGCAGUAAGAC